AGAUUGAACGCUGGCGGAAUGCUUUACACAUGCAAGUCGAACGGCAGCACGGGGGUAACCCUGGUGGCGAGUGGCGAACGGGUGAGUAAUACAUCGGAACGUGCCCAGUCGUGGGGGAUAACGUAGCGAAAGCUACGCUAAUACCGCAUACGAACUCUGGUUGAAAGCGGGGGACUCGCAAGAGCCUCGCGCGAUUGGAGCGGCCGAUGGCAGAUUAGGUAGUUGGUGGGGUAAAGGCUCACCAAGCCUGCGAUCUGUAGCUGGUCUGAGAGGACGACCAGCCACACUGGGACUGAGACCACGGCCCAGACUCCUACGGGAGGCAGCAGGUGGGGUAAUUUGGACAAGU
rnacentral:rRNA from 1 species